CUCUAAUCGCCGCAGUCUGGAAACAAGAACCCGCGGAAUCACCUUUCACGUGUUUCCCAAAACCGGAGAGAGGAGGAGGCAGUGGGAAGUUGCCCUAAGAAGGGACGGUUUUGUUUCCUGUGGCAGGACACUGCUCUGCAGUGAUCACUUCAGUUGUGAGGACUUUGACAGGACGGGGCAGACUGUCCGGCUUAAAGAUGGUGUUGUGCCAACCGUAUUCAACUUCCCAGCUCAUCUUCAAAGGCCGGAAGCAACAAGAAGCACAACCACUUCAAGAAGAGCGGAAGAUGAACCUCAGCCUAAUGUUGUGAGUAUUCUGAAUGUGGCCAAGACCAGAGAGAUGGUCAUUGAUUUCAGGAGGGU